rnacentral:rRNA from 1 species
AUUGAACGCUGGCGGCAGGCCUAACACAUGCAAGUCGAACGCGUGGCGGACGGGUGAGUAAUGUCUGGGAAACUGCCCGAUGUGGGGGGAUAACUCUUGGAAACGGUAGCUAAUACCGCAUACGAUCUGAUGUGACCAGAUGGGAUUAGCUAGUAGGUGGGGUAACGGCUCACCGAGGCGACGAUCCCUAGCGGGUCUGAGAGGAUGACCAGCCACACUGGAACUGAGACACGGUCCAGACUCCUACGGGAGGCAGCAGUGGGGAAUAUUGCACAAUGGGCGCAAGCCUGAUGCAGCCAUGCCGCGUGUAUGAAGAAGGCCUUCGGGUUGUAAAGUACUUUCAGCGAGGAGGCGUUACUCGCAGAAGAAGCACCGGCUAACUCCGUGCCAGCAGCCGCGGUAAUUC